rnacentral:misc_RNA from 1 species
AACGCACAUUGCGCCCACUGGUAUUCCGGUGGGCAUGCCUGUUCGAGCGUCAUUAUCCUCCCUCAAACCUCGGGUUUGGUGUUGGACCCAAGUUGUGUGAACAACUGGUCUUAAAGACAAUGACGGCGUCCGUGGGACCCUCGGUGCAACGAGCUUUUAGGAGCACGCGUCGAGUUUCAAGGACCUUCCGGGCCGGUCUCCUUUACCAUUUUACAAGGUUGACCUCGGAUCAGGUAGGAAUACCCGCUGAACUUAA